CAUUUGUUUGGGUUGAGGAGGACGAGGAAGGGAAUCCUAUCCCAAAGAGGAGGAGAACAGGGAAGAAGCGGGCAAAGAGUUCAUCCUCAGGUGAGAGACAAUGGUCAAUUGUCAAUUGGGUCAAUGAGUCCUCACAUAUUGCACCCACCCAGUGAAUACAUCCUACUGCGUGGAUCCUCUACUACACUUGGACGGUGACUUCUGGGAGCAUGCACUCAUUGC